rnacentral:rRNA from 1 species
CUGCUAAUACCGCAUAAUGUCUACGGACCAAAGGGGGCUUCGGCUCUCGCCUUUAGAUUGGCCCAAGUGGGAUUAGCUAGUUGGUGAGGUAAUGGCUCACCAAGGCGACGAUCCCUAGCUGGUUUGAGAGGAUGAUCAGCCACACUGGGACUGAGACACGGCCCAGACUCCUACGGGAGGCAGCAGUGGGGAAUAUUGCACAAUGGGCGCAAGCCUGAUGCAGCCAUGCCGCGUGUGUGAAGAAGGCCUUCGGGUUGUAAAGCACUUUCAGUCAGGAGGAAAGGUUAACGGUUAAUACCCGUUAGCUGUGACGUUACUGACAGAAGAAGCACCGGCUAACUCCGUGCCAGCAGCCGCGGUAAUACGGAGGGUGCGAGCGUUAAUCGGAAUUACUGGGCGUAAAGCGUACGCAGGCGGUUUGUUAAGCGAGAUGUGAAAGCCCCGGGCUCAACCUGGGAACUGCAUUUCGAACUGGCAAACUAGAGUGUGAUAGAGGGUGGUAGAAUUUCAGGUGUAGCGGUGAAAUGCGUAGAGAUCUGAAGGAAUACCGAUGGCGAAGGCAGCCACCUGGGUCAACACUGACGCUCAUGUACGAAAGCGUGGGGAGCAAACGGGAUUAGAUACCCCGGUAGUCCACGCCGUAAACGAUGUCUACUAGAAGCUCGGAGCCUCGGUUCUGUUUUUCAAAGCUAACGCAUUAAGUAGACCGCCUGGGGAGUACGGCCGCAAGGUUAAAACUCAAAUGAAUUGACGGGGGCCCGCACAAGCGGUGGAGCAUGUGGUUUAAUU